GUGGGAUGGUGUAACGGUCGUGUCCCAACGGUUAGUAACGUUCACAUAGCCAGACGGUGUCACGCUCGUGACAGGGGCGUUACGGGCGUCACAAGCACUUGGUGUGACGUCCGUCAUGGAUAGUGUGACGCUCGUCACACGGUAAGCUGCAACGGUCACUGCUUGCGUUCUUCAUAAUAAUUUAUAGUAAUUUAUUUUUAUUAUUUUGUUUU
rnacentral:lncRNA from 1 species